CGCCAUUGGUCCCUUCUCACAGGACAUGCACUGCACUGAACACCUCGUCAACAGCCAGAGAAACGAGACAUAAAUGGUGUCUCAACAGCUGGAAGCAUCUUGCAGGAGGAGCAGAGAUUGCCUUUUGUGGUAAAUACCAUUGUGUGGAACAAUGUGUUCUUCAAGAUAAAUAAAGUGAGCAAGAUCCUGCAGAGACCCAAACAAAUCCAGUCCAGACAGUGAGGAAAGACAUCCGAGAUCAUGGAUUCAACCAAAACAGACGCCAGGGAGAUAGCAGCGAAGAGCAAGAAGGACGAGAGCAAACUCAGUCAACUGCAGAAGAGCUCUGCAAAAGAGAGACGCCAUUCCAGACAUCUGGACAUCAUUGCUGUGUGAAGACUGGCGAAGAGUAGAAGUUACAAGUAGAUCUUUCUAAGAUAAAAAAAAGGAUUGUAAAAGGAUUGGAAAACAAGGCAGACUGAAUGACACGGCUGACACAGACAUGGCCGCCUGGAGAGGCGGAUGAGUUGAGAGGGGGGCGAUGGGAGCCUGAAACGCUUCUACCCAAUCACCCAGUCCUCCAGCCAGUUGUCAAGCAUUUCUUUUUCUCCUCCCUUGCAGUCUUAUUUUUUCUGUCUUUUUUUUUCCUUUUUUUCCCCCCCCUGUCUUUCUUCAUUUCUUUCCAUCUCUGCCUCUCUCUUCUUGUGGCUGAGGGUCUUGUCAGAGGGCUCUCCAAAAAGUGUUUGUAAUAGAGGAGUGUUUUGGGAUUUGUCCUCAGAUGCAGGCGAGACGAGUUGGGGGGGGGUGGGUGGUUGUCAAGGCGAAGUGGGUGGGGGGGGGGUCUUUGAGUGUCACGCUGCUGCUGAAAGGGUGAAGAGCGUGUGAGG
ensembl:lncRNA